UAUACCUGUAAAGUAGAGCAAGUUGGUAAUUAAUAAAUAUGGUUUCAUGAAUUUGGUGCAAUUAAAUAUCUGUUUUGAAAAAGUAUGAACAUGUACAACUAGAAAAGCUGUCAGACGAAGCAUGCAUUCUACAAAUACAAGUGCCACAAAGUUUGGUCACCUGAUUCAAAUAGCAUUAAAAUGUGGUAUCUUUCAAUAUUCACUUUAGACGUCAUCAUCAAGCUCAAACAGCAUUUUUGACAGUCCUGUGCGUCUAGGAAAAAGGAGAGCCUCCCAAAGAAAACCAUCCCCAAGCACAGUGCCACAGAGAGCCCAAUUCGACCAGCUCGUGGCAGAGGAAGGGGCAGAGGAAAGGGCAAAGGUCCGGCUUCCCGAAAAGGCAAAAAAAUCUGUUCGGGAAGCUGAUCCAAAUAGGGAUGAAGUUGCCCUUUCUGUCAUUCAAACAAGGAAAGACAGAUUUCGAGAAGACAUGAAGACCAUGCCAAGAGAACAGCUUGAGGAAAUAAUAUUGGGGGUCCUUGAUGAGAACCCUGGUCUUAUAUUGGACUUUCAUAAGCCAGUAGCCA